rnacentral:rRNA from 1 species
GGGGCAGCAAUGUCACCGUCGCACGGGUGCGUAACGCGUAUGCAACCUACCUAUCACAGGGGGAUAGCCUUUGGAAACAGGGAUUAAUACCGCAUAAAGCAGGGGCUCCGCAUGGAGAUAUUGCUAAAGAUUUAUCGGUGAUAGAUGGGCAUGCGUCUGAUUAGUUAGAUGGUGGGGUAACGGCCUACCAUGGCGAUGAUCAGUAGGGGGCGUCAGAGCGUGGUCCCCCACACUGGCACUGAGAUACGGGCCAGACUCCUACGGGAGGCAGCAGUAGGGAAUAUUGGGCAAUGGAUGCAAGUCUGACCCAGCCAUGCCGCGUGAAGGAAGAAGGUCCUCUGGAUUGUAAACUUCUUUUGUCGGGGAAGAAGAGUCAUCUUGCGAGGUGAUGUGACGGUACCCGAUGAAUAAGCCACGGCUAACUACGUGCCAACAGCCGCGGUAAUACGUAGGUGGCAAGCGUUGUCCGGAUUUAUUGGGUUUAAAGGGUGCGUAGGUGGUUUAAUAAGUCAGUGGUGAAAGCUGGUUGCUCAACAAUCAAGUUGCCAUUGAUACUGUUAGACUUGAGAGAAGUGGAGGCUGGUGGAAUGGAUGGUGUAGCGGUGAAAUGCAUAGAUAUCAUCCAGAACGUCAAUUGCGAAGGCAGCUGGCUGUACUUUUUCUGACACUGAGGCACGAAAGUGUGGGGAUCAAACAGGAUUAGAUACCCUGGUAGUCCACACUGUAAACGAUGCGAACUAGCUUUUUGGCAGUAAUGUUGAGAGGCUAAGG